AGAGUUGAUCCUGGCUCAGAACGAACGCUGGCGGCGUGCUUAACACAUGCAAGUCGAACGAGAAAGCUUCUUUCGGGAAGUGAGUAGAGUGGCGCACGGGUGAGUAACGCGUAGGUAAUCUACCCUUAUAUUUGGGAUAACAUUGGGAAACUGGUGCUAAUACCGAAUGGUCUUCAUUGCUUUGGGGCGAUGGAGUAAAGGUGGCCUCUUCAUGAAAGCUACCGUGUAGGGAUGAGCCUGCGUACCAUUAGCUAGUAGGUGGGGUAAUGGCCCACCUAGGCUACGAUGGUUAGCGGGUCUGAGAGGAUGAUCCGCCACACUGGAACUGGAACACGGACCAGACUCCUACGGGAGGCAGCAGUGAGGAAUAUUGCGCAAUGGGGGAAACCCUGACGCAGCGACGCCGCGUGAGUGAGGAAGGUUUUCGGAUCGUAAAGCUCUGUCAGAAGGGAAGAAGUGUUAUACAGUUAAUACCUGUAUAAUUUGACGGUACCUUCAGAGGAAGCACCGGCUAACUCCGUGCCAGCAGCCGCGGUAAUACGGAGGGUGCAAGCGUUGUUCGGAAUUACUGGGCGUAAAGGGCGCGUAGGCGGCCUGAUAAGUCAGAUGUGAAAGUCCACGGCCCAACCGUGGAAGUGCAUUUGAAACUGUCAGGCUUGAGUAUCGGAGGGGAGUGUGGAAUUCCCGGUGUAGAGGUGAAAUUCGUAGAGAUCGGGAGGAACACCGGUGGCGAAGCGCCACUCUGGACGAAUACUGACGCUGAGGCGCGAAAGCGUGGGGAGCAAACAGGAUUAGAUACCCUGGUAGUCCACGCCGUAAACGAUGUG
rnacentral:rRNA from 1 species